CCAGAGAGUUGAUCUGGCUCAGGAUGAACGCUAGCGAUAGGCCUAACACAUGCAAGUCGAGGGGCAGCACAUGAGUAGCAAUACGAUGGUGGCGACCGGCGCACGGGUGAGUAACACGUAUGCAACCUACCUUUAACAGGGGAAUAACCCGUUGAAAAACGGACUAAUACUCCAUAACACAGGGGUCCCGCAUGGGAAUAUUUGUUAAAGAUUUAUCGGUUGAAGAUGGGCAUGCGUUCCAUUAGCUUGUUGGUGAGGUAACGGCUCACCAUGGCCACGAUGGAUAGGGGAACUGAGAGGUUUAUCCCCCACACUGGAACUGAGACACGGUCCAGACUCCUACGGGAGGCAGCAGUGAGGAAUAUUGGUCAAUGGAGGCAACUCUGAACCAGCCAAGUCGCGUGAAGGAUGAAGGUCUUAUGGAUUGUAAACUUCUUUUGCAAGGGAAUAAAGUGGGGGACGUGUCCUCCUUUGCAUGUACCUUGCGAAUAAGGAUCGGCUAACUCCGUGCCAGCAGCGGC
rnacentral:rRNA from 1 species